rnacentral:rRNA from 1 species
AGAACGAACGCUGGCGGCAGGCUUAACACAUGCAAGUCGAGCGCCCCGCAAGGGGAGCGGCAGACGGGUGAGUAACGCGUGGGAACAUACCCUCCGGUUCGGAAUAGCUCAGGGGAAACUUGGAUUAAUACCGGAUACGGCCUAGCGGCGAAAGAUUCAUCGCCGGAGGAUUGGCCCGCGUUCGAUUAGCUAGUUGGUGAGGUAACGGCUCACCAAGGCGACGAUCGAUAGCUGGUCUGAGAGGAUGAUCAGCCACAUUGGGACUGAGACACGGCCCAAACUCCUACGGGAGGCAGCAGUGGGGAAUAUGGACAAUGGGCGCAAGCCUGAUCCAGCCAUGCCGCGUGGAUGAUGAAGGCCUUAGGGUUGUGAAGUCCGUUUUAACGGGGAAGAUAAUGACGGUACCCGUAGAAUAAGCCCCGGCUAACUUCGUGCCAGCAGCCGC